UACGUAGGUGGCAAGCGUUGUCCGGAUUUACUGGGCGUAAAGAGCGCGCAGGCGGUCGUUCAAGUCGCGUGUGAAAGCCCCUGGCUCAACUGGGGAAGUGCACCCGAAACUGAGCGGCUUGAAUGCAAAAGAGGGUCGCGGAAUUCCCGGUGUAGAGGUGAAAUUCGUAGAUAUUGGGAAGAACACCGGUGGCGAAGGCGGCUCACUGGUCCGAUACUGACGCUGAGGUGCGAAAGCGUGGGGAGCAAACAGG
rnacentral:rRNA from 1 species